rnacentral:misc_RNA from 1 species
GGCAUUCACAGGAGAAAUCAGGUUGGAUUUCACUUCUUUUUCUUUUUCUUUUUUGUCAUAGCAAUCAUGGUUGGUAUCGAUUUUCAAAUCCUUCACAUAAUUGUUUUUGUAACCAUGACAACAACAAUAACAACUACAAAGUCUUAAUUCCAAAUUUGUUGGGUUGACUAUAUGGAUCAUUUUUGGCUAUUCAGCUUUGUUAGACACUAAGUUCGCAUCAAUAUCUAUCAUUUGUAAUUUUUUAGAUAUCAUUUCCUUCCAUGUCAUAUUAGGUAUCCCUUUUUCUCUUUUUAUUCCCUCCCCUACUAACUCAUCACAUUUACAUAUUGGGGCAUUUGAUGCUCUAUGUUAGAUAUGAGUAAACCAUCUUAAUUGACCCUCUUUUCAUUUUAUCUACAAUAUAUUCUAUAUGCAUUAUCUGUAGAUGUGGUCAUUUCUAAUCUUAUUCAUUAUCGUGUUACUAAAUAUCAUUAUUAACAUCUGCAUUUCUAUCAUACUCAUCUUGUGAGUCUAUUAUACCCUAGUGCCAUUUCUUUGCUGCAAAAUGCCACUCUUUUGCUGUUGUUUCCAUGGUCUUCUUCAAGUGUAGCCUUAUUGAGACACUUUUUGUUUAAGAAACUCUAAUUUAUUGUACUUAGACUACAAGCAGUGGGUUAUCUAAUUUCAAGUGCAAUCACACCAAUAAUCCACCUGUGCUUUUGCUUUAGUGCUAUACACAUAUGAACUAGGAUAUAAAACUCUACUCAACUCAACUAAGCCUUCAAGA